CAAUACGAUGCUAACUGCUAUGUUUACUAUGCAAACAGUUUUAACCAUUUGCUAACCUAUGCUGCUAUGGUUACUAUUCUAACUGUUAUUUUCCACACUUUAUGGACUUUUAGCUGAGUGGCUAUGCACUGCACCUGUCUAAUGGCAAUGUGCCAGGAUAGAGCAUCCAUAAUGCAGCAAGGAUAAAGGUAAUUUUCACAUGGGUGUUGACCAAAUGGCUUCUCCAGCAGCAGAUGGGACAGAAGUUGGACAUUGAAGACGAGGCAUGGGGAGCCCUGAGGAUGACCUGACUCUGAGAGCAGCUUUGUAUGGAAUGCUGUUCCACAUCCAGGCAGACAGCUCAGACUGGAAGGGAGCUCUGAAUCUGCUGAAGCAUGCUAUCCCCACACAAGAAACAGGUUGCUCCUGUUAAAGCACUGGGUGCUGGUGAGGGCCUGGCUAGGGGAGAGCGUUCUGCUAGACAUGCCGAAGUUCAGGGAUGAAGGGGAACUCAGUGCCACAUGUGGGAGCAAUGGAGUUGCACUGUGUGCUGGGGAAAUACUAAAGCAGCUGGCCAGCUACCAGAACUCCAUAAUCUCCCUACUGAAAAGACUGGUGCCCAAGAGAUGCAAACUGAAAGAACCGCAGAGGAGAGAAUUCCCAAGGAGGUACUGAUUUC